rnacentral:rRNA from 1 species
AGAGUUUUCCUCUUCGGAGGACAAAAUGACAGGUGGUGCAUGGUUGUCGUCAGCUCGUGUCGUGAGAUGUUGGGUUAAGUCCCGCAACGAGCGCAACCCUUAAGCUUAGUUGCCAUCAUUAAGUUGGGCACUCUAAGUUGACUGCCGGUGACAAACCGGAGGAAGGUGGGGAUGACGUCAAAUCAUCAUGCCCCUUAUGAUUUGGGCUACACACGUGCUACAAUGGACAAUACAAAGGGCAGCGAAACUGCGAGGUCAAGCAAAUCCCAUAAAGUUGUUCUCAGUUCGGAUUGUAGUCUGCAACUCGACUAUAUGAAGCUGGAAUCGCUAGUAAUCGUAGAUCAGCAUGCUACGGUGAAUACGUUCCCGGGUCUUGUACACACCGCCCGUCACACCACGAGAGUUUGUAACACCCGAAGCCGGUGGAGUAACCAUUUGGAGCUAGCCGUCGAAGGUGGGACAAAUGAUUGGGGUGAAGUCGUAACAAGGUAGCCGUAUCGGAAGGUGCGGCUGGAUCACCUCCUUUCUAAGGA